GACGGGGCCUGGGUGUCUUCAGGCUUUUGAGUCUUCCCCAUCAGCAUUUCUUUCAUUCAAAAUAAAGUUAAAAGAACCCCCCAGAACACGAGGGACUCCAGGCACCCCAAGCUCAGAGGCACAGUUUUGAGGGGAGCUCUCUCCUCACAUGAAGUAUGGCCUUGAGGCCACCCAUCACCCAUGCCAACAUCAGACUUCGACGGCGAGAGAGCAUUGACCUCCUUUCAGCAAAUGUCGAUGCCAGAAAAAGUGCUCUGCAAAUUCAACCGCUGCUGCUGCUCAAAUCUCCUAUGAAGCUGAGAAUUAGAGGAAGCUUCCAGAACCUGGCAGCCCCCAGCAGCGUUCCCAAUGGCAGAGCCCAAGCCCUCGGCUCUCCUGCUCUUCCUCACCUUGCACAAGAUCUGCUCUCCAGAUGGGU
rnacentral:lncRNA from 1 species